rnacentral:rRNA from 1 species
UACGAAGGGGGCUAGCGUUGCUCGGAAUCACUGGGCGUAAAGCGCACGUAGGCGGAUCUUUAAGUCAGGGGUGAAAUCCCGGAGCUCAACUCCGGAACUGCCUUUGAUACUGAGGGUCUUGAGUCCGGGAGAGGUGAGUGGAACUGCGAGUGUAGAGGUGAAAUUCGUAGAUAUUCGCAAGAACACCAGUGGCGAAGGCGGCUCACUGGCCCGGUACUGACGCUGAGGUGCGAAAGCGUGGGGAGCAAAGCAGGG